rnacentral:rRNA from 1 species
GGCGAACGGGUGAGUAAUAUAUCGGAACGUGCCCAGUCGUGGGGGAUAACGCAGCGAAAGCUGUGCUAAUACCGCAUACGACCUAAGGGUGAAAGGGGGGGAUCGCAAGACCUCUCGCUAUUGGAGCGGCCGAUGUCAGAUUAGGUAGUUGGUGGGGUAAAGGCUCACCAAGCCUGCGAUCUGUAGCUGGUCUGAGAGGACGACCAGCCACACUGGGACUGAGACACGGCCCAGACUCCUACGGGAGGCAGCAGUGGGGAAUUUUGGACAAUGGGCGCAAGCCUGAUCCAGCCAUUCCGCGUGCAGGAUGAAGGCCUUCGGGUUGUAAACUGCUUUUGUACGGAACGAAACGACCUUCUCUAAUACAGGGGGUUAAUGACGGUACUGUAAGAAUAAGCACCGGCUAACUACGUGCCAGCAGCCGCGGUAAUACGUAGGGUGCAAGCGUUAAUCGGAAUUACUGGGCGUAAAGCGUGCGCAGGCGGUUAUAUAAGUCAGAUGUGAAAUCCCCGGGCUCAACCUGGGAACUGCAUUUGAGACUGUAUAGCUAGAGUACGGUAGAGGGGGAUGGAAUUCCACGUGUAGCAGUGAAAUGCGUAGAGAUGUGGAGGAACACCAAUGGCGAAGGCAGCCCCCUGGGUCGAUACUGACGCUCAUGCACGAAAGCGUGGGUAGCAAACAGGAUU